rnacentral:rRNA from 1 species
GCCUUAGUAACGGCGAGUGAAGCGGCAAAAGCUCAAAUUUGAAAUCGGCCACCAGGUCGAGUUGUAAUUUGUAGAUUGUAUCUUGAGAGCGGAUUAAAGUCUGUUGGAACACAGCGCCUUAGAGGGUGACAGCCCCGUAAAAUCUAUUCUCAUUGUAAGAUACUUUCGAAGAGUCGAGUUGUUUGGGAAUGCAGCUCUAAGUGGGAGGUAAAUUCCUUCUAAAGCUAAAUAUUGACGAGAGACCGAUAGCGAACAAGUACUGUGAAGGAAAGAUGAAAAGCACUUUGAAAAGAGAGUGAAAAAGUACGUGAAAUUGUUAAAAGGGAAGGGUAUUGAAUCAGACUUGGUGCUGUUGUUCAACUGUGUUUCGGCAUAGUGUACUCAGCAGUACUAGGCCAAGGUGGGGUGUUUGGGAGUGAAAAAGAAGUUGGAACGUAACUCUUCGGAGUGUUAUAGCCUACUUUCAUAGCUCCUCAGGCGCCUCAGGACUGCGCUUCGGCAAGGA